rnacentral:rRNA from 1 species
UGAGUAACCUGCCCUUAACUCUGGGGUAAGCCUGGGAAACUGGGUCUAAUACCGGAUAUGACUCCUCAUCGCAUGGGUGGGGGGUGGAAAGCUUUUUUGUGGUUUUGGAUGGACUCGCGGCCUAUCAGCUUGUUGGUGAGGUAAUGGCUCACCAAGGCGACGACGGGUAGCCGGCCUGAGAGGGUGACCCGGCCACACUGGGACUGAGACACGGCCCAGACCUCCGUACGGGAGGCAG